GGCUAGCCCACCCUAUAUAUUUGAAAUCGCCAAUUUCAUUUCUCAGCUUCGAUCUAAUUCAACAACUCUCUCUCUCUCUCUCAUUUCGUGAAACUCCAUCUCUGCUAACUUUUCUCACUCGACCUCAAUUCAUCCCCACCGAAUCGUCUCUCUUCCUAAGAUCUUCACCUUUCGUUCGGAACAUCUCUCUCAAUCGAGGUAAGUAUCAUUAAAAUCGGUGACCCAAUGCUCCGAAUCGAGGAUAUGGAGAAAUCGGAGGUCGAAUUGUGGAUCUGUGUCGAGAAGCUGCGGCAGAACAUUGAGGAGCGGGAUGAAAUGAUCGGGUUCAUGUCGAGGAAGGCGGAUGAUGAGGAGGAUGUGAAGGAAGCAGAGAUCCAUGGGCAUAGAUCAAAGAGCAGGGCCAUGUUUGGCAGGAAUGUGGAAGAAGGCGGUGAUUUAGGGGAGUAUUACAUGGAUUUUUCAAGGAUUGGGAGAAUUAGGGUUUCGUGGGGGUUAGAUCCGGUCCUUGAGGCUUGUUUCGUGGAGAGGAUUAUGGAAAGGAAUGCUGCUGAAGCGGACGGGAUGGCAGUUCUUUACGGGCAGAGGAAUGACUUUGGGAGGGAUUUCUUGCCAUCAGCUUCUGUUGCUUGGAUGGAACGGUCGAGUGAAUGACAACAAAGAGGAAAUGAUGUUCUGCAUUCACCAGUGACUUAUGCAUAUUUAGUUGUGGAGAUUGAAGGUGCUAAAUUGUUUAUCGAUAAUUAUAUUAAUUGACAGGUAGAGAUUUCUGAACUAAAUGAGGAACUGAGCUAACUUUAGAAUCAGGCAAGAUUUAUGGCAUUUUCUUUCGUAUGUAUAGAAUUAGGCUUUUAUUGUUGUUGUUGUUGUGGUUAGCAAUUUCAGUGCCAUUCUGUGUUUUUCGAAUGACUGAAGCAACGCUACUUUUUAAUUAGAAUUUUUGAUAUGGACAUAUACACAUAAGUGCUAGGCAUCAAACUGGUGUCAUGAACAUGAAUUCUAUGUUUUUUACAAUCUGAUGGUUAUAUAUGGCAUUGAAAGAUUAUUUAUUUAUUUAUUAUUAUUUUUAUAAAAAAAAUUGGAUAAGAUGACUAUCAGGUGCACUAGAUUAAAAAAAACAACAAAUCCCAUUGGUCAUAUCCUCUUGAUUAAACUGAUUGUUCACAAUUUAGCUCACUUGGGCAUCCAAAUGCAGCGUGCAUGCCUUCACAAGAUCAAUAACAUUGCUUUCUAAUAUGUGCCACCAAAAAAUUUGGAUAUGUGCUGCUUUGCAGUUCUCUUUGUCAUUGAAUUGUUUUUACUCCAUGUUUUAUAUUUACUUGAUAUGGAUUUAUUGACAGUUUCCAGUAAUGAUUAUUGUAUUUUUCAAAACUAUGGUACUAAUUCCCUACUUGAAUGGUUAGGAUUACCUUCACUUCAACCAUCUAGCAUUAUAGCAUGGCAACGGUUAUUGGACUAUGUCUGCGAGUUAAGCUGAUGCGCUGUUUCCCUCCACAUUUCAAGGUGGGUCUUCUUAAUGUGGACGGUUACUACAACUCCCUUCUUACUCUCAUCAAAAAGUUGUGGACGACGGAUUCAUCAAGCCCAAUCAAUGCCACAUAAUCAUGUCCACACCAAACACCAAAGAGUUGGUGCAGAAACUAGAGAUACCAAAGGCAUCGACAAAUACCCGAAAGUUCAGAAGCAGAUGCAGGCCUUGUUGGCCACAUUCACCUUGAUAAGUUCUAUCAGCAGUAGAUGGAGUAAGGAAAAUUGAUGCAGGUCUCUCUGAAGGUAAAGAAGAAUGGCUUAGAGCAGAAUUUCAGUGUGGACUGGGAGCGCUGAUAUCCAGCAGCACAUCAUCUCCCACCAUUUAAUGGUUUUUGGUGGGAAUCUAUAAUCAAUUCAAAAUUUGAAUUUGAAAAACACAAUUUAUAAAAUCAUGUUAAGAUUCCCACCCAUGAUUGUUGGAUGGUGGCAAAUAUGUGCCCACUAAAUCUUCAUGCACGCCAGGCGCACACAAUCUUUUCUUCUCCUCUGUAUGACAGAUACUCAAUCAUUAUAGAUAUCCUUAACUUACACAAUCAAUUAGUCAAAACAUGCCCCACAAUUUUGAUGAAUGAUUCUGCAAGUUGGGAAAUGCAAAGUUUUUUUAAUGGCUGUUUGCUGGAGUUGUUGACGGUUGUAACAUUUGGGCUAAUGAUCUCACAACAUCUCUUAAGACAUUGAAAGUUCUUGAGAGCAAGGUUGGCAAAGGUAUACACAUUUCAUGAGUUCUAGAUUUGUUAGAGAUAAGUUGUCUAUGAUUUUGAAAUCACUGAAUAUGUUGUUAACAAAAUCGGUAAAAUUAUCUGUCACAAUCUAUGUUUACUUAUUUUAGCACGGAAAUGGUUUCUUAAGUUUGCUCCAUCAAGUCGAUGACAUUUUUUCAGAAUAUCAGUUUUUAUUUCUAAUUUCUUUGGCCAUAGCCCCCUAAUUCCUACAUAUUUUGGGUUUUGUUUUCAUGUCUUUGUAACUGUGACUUUUCUAGUCUAUCAAAAUUGAUACCUAAACUUUGCAUGGUGCUUGUCAUGCAGAAAAGCUUGUAGUUUCCACUUCCUGUUCCCUUCUGCACACAUGUUAAGAUCACAAUGAUCAGGCGGUUCUGACCAUUGGAUCAAAUGUCUAUGAAAGGAAUAGUAAGGACUGUUUUUGAAAUAUAUUUCAAUCAACAAUUUCGACCAUCUAUUUCAUAAAGACAAUGAUGUAUUACCUGCCAUUGUACGGAAGCACUUUGAUCAGACCAUUCUAACCUUCCCAUUCAGUGGUUGGAAUUUGGAUGGCUAUAAACUAAGUCCAAAUUUUGGACGGACAGGAUAUUCCAAUUCGUGUUAUCUUUGUGCUAUGGACAAUUAAGAAUCUGCAAUUACAAGACUAUAAAACACCCUAUCAAUUCUAAAAUAAUUAUAAGAGGAUUCCAAGUAUGUUAAUCUUCCUUUUUGCUGCACACAACCAAAAAAUAAAAAUAAAAUGGAUCAGAGCAAUCUUGCUUUUUUUUUUUUUUUUUUUUUUGAACCAGGUCUCUAGGCCAAGCUUCCCCAUCUGUGAAUGCAUUUGCAGCAGGGCGAGCAACAACAAACAAGAUGUUUGAGACCAUCAAACGGAAACCAGAGAUCAACUCAUGCGACACAAGUGGAAUUGUGGAAGAUAUCAACAACGAUAUAGAACUGGGAGAUGUUUGCUUUAGCUACCCUGCAAGACCUGACAUUCAUGUAUUUUCAGGGUUCUCAUUGCAUGUUCCAAGCAGCAUGACUGUGGCUCUAGUUGGAGAGAGUGGCAGUGGGAAGUUGACAGUGAUCAGCCUGUUGGAGAGGUUCUAUGACCUCCAAGCUGGUGAAGUGCUCAUAGAUGGCAUCAACUUGAAGAAGCUGUAGCUUGGAUGGAUCAGAGAGAAGAUCGAUCUUGUUAGCCAAGAGCCCAUGUUAUUCACAACUGCUAAAAAGGAGAAUAUCGCAUAUGGUAAGGCGGGUGCUACAUUGGAAGAAAUCAGAACAGUAACUAAGAUUGCUAAUGCUGCAAGGUUCAUAGACAAGAUGCUCACUUGCUUGUACUCUUUUUUUUUUUGGGUAAAUUCAUACUACUCUCUCAAAGAUGUUGUGGGUGGAAGGCUAGGAAAGGAAGACAUUUGUGUUUUGGUAAAUUAAUUGUUUUGUUGA